AGAGUUUGAUCAUGGCUCAGGAUGAACGCUGGCGGCGUGCCUAACACAUGCAAGUCGAGCGAUUCUCUUCGGAGAAGAGCGGCGGACGGGUGAGUAACGCGUGGGUAACCUGCCUCAUACACAUGGAUAACAUACCGAAAGGUAUGCUAAUACAAGAUGAUAUAAGAGAUUCGCAUGGAUUUCUUAUCAAAGCUCCGGCGGUAUGAGAUGGACCCGCGUCUGAUUAGCUAGUUGGUAAGGUAACGGCUUACCAAGGCGACGAUCAGUAGCCGACCUGAGAGGGUGAUCGGCCACAUUGGAACUGAGACACGGUCCAAACUCCUACGGGAGGCAGCAGUGGGGAAUAUUGCACAAUGGGCGAAAGCCUGAUGCAGCAACGCCGCGUGAGCGAUGAAGGCCUUCGGGUCGUAAAGCUCUGUCCUCAAGGAAGAUAAUGACGGUACUUGAGGAGGAAGCCCCGGCUAACUACGUGCCAGCAGCCGCGGUAAUACGUAGGGGGCUAGCGUUAUCCGGAUUUACUGGGCGUAGAGGGUGCGUAGGUGGUUUCUUAAGUCAGGAGUGAAAGGCUACGGCUCAACCGUAGUAAGCUCUUGAAACUGGGAAACUUGAGUGCAGGAGAGGAAAGUGGAAUUCCUAGUGUAGCGGUGAAAUGCGUAGAUAUUAGGAGGAACACCAGUAGCGAAGGCGGCUUUCUGGACUGUAACUGACACUGAGGCACGAAAGCGUGGGGAGCAAACAGGAUUAGAUACCCUGGUAGUCCACGCCGUAAACGAUGAGUACUAGGUGUCGGGGGUUACCCCCCUCGGUGCCGCAGCUAACGCAUUAAGUACUCCGCCUGGGGAGUACGCUCGCAAGAGUGAAACUCAAAGGAAUUGACGG
rnacentral:rRNA from 1 species